AUUGAACGCUGGCGGCAGGCCUAACACAUGCAAGUCGAACGAGUGGCGGACGGGUGAGUAAUGUCUGGGAAACUGCCUGAUGGAGGGGGAUAACUACUGGAAACGGUAGCUAAUACCGCAUACCAUCGGAUGUGCCCAGAUGGGAUUAGCUAGUAGGUGGGGUAAAGGCUCACCUAGGCGACGAUCCCUAGCUGGUCUGAGAGGAUGAUCAGUCACACUGGGACUGAGACGAGGCCCAGACCCCUACGUGAGGCAGCAGUGGGGAAUAUUGCACAAUGGGCGCAAGCCUGAUGCAGCCAUGCCGCGUGUGUGAAGAAGGGCUUCGGAUUGUAAAGCACUUUAAGUGGGGAGGCGUUACCAGCAGAAUAAGCACCGGCUAACUCCGUGCCAGCAGCCGCGGUAAUAC
rnacentral:rRNA from 1 species